rnacentral:rRNA from 1 species
GAGAAAUCACUGCUAAUACCGCAUAAGCACACAGUACCGCAUGGUACAGGGUGAAAAGAUUUAUCGCCAUAAGAUGGACCCGCGUCUGAUUAGCCAGUUGGCAGGGUAAAAGCCUACCAAAGCAACGAUCAGUAGCCGAUCUGAGAGGAUGACCGGCCACAUUGGGACUGAGACACGGCCCAAACUCCUACGGGAGGCAGCAGUGGGGAAUAUUGCACAAUGGGGGAAGCCCUGAUGCAGCGACGCCGCGUGAGUGAAGAAGUAUUUCGGUAUGUAAAGCUCUAUCAGCAGGGAAGAUAAUGACAGUACCUGACUAAGAAGCCCCGGCUAACUACGUGCCAGCAGCCGCGGUAAUACGUAGGGGGCAAGCGUUAUCCGGAUUUACUGGGUGUAAAGGGAGCGUAGACGGAGUGGCAAGUCUGAAGUGAAAACCCUGGGCUUAACCUGGGGACUGCUUUGGAAACUGUUAAUCUAGAGUGUUGGAGAGGUAAGUGGAAUUCCUGGUGUAGCGGUGAAAUGCGUAGAUAUCAGGAAGAACACCGGAGGCGAAGGCGGCUUACUGGACAAUAACUGACGUUGAGGC